AGAGUUUGAUCCUGGCUCAGGAUGAACGCUGGCGGCGUGCCUAAUACAUGCAAGUCGAGCGAACGGACGAGAAGCUUGCUUCUCUGAUGUUAGCGGCGGACGGGUGAGUAACACGUGGAUAACCUACCUAUAAGACUGGGAUAACUUCGGGAAACCGGAGCUAAUACCGGAUAAUAUUUUGAACCGCAUGGUUCAAAAGUGAAAGACGGUCUUGCUGUCACUUAUAGAUGGAUCCGCGCUGCAUUAGCUAGUUGGUAAGGUAACGGCUUACCAAGGCAACGAUGCAUAGCCGACCUGAGAGGGUGAUCGGCCACACUGGAACUGAGACACGGUCCAGACUCCUACGGGAGGCAGCAGUAGGGAAUCUUCCGCAAUGGGCGAAAGCCUGACGGAGCAACGCCGCGUGAGUGAUGAAGGUCUUCGGAUCGUAAAACUCUGUUAUUAGGGAAGAACAUAUGUGUAAGUAACUGUGCACAUCUUGACGGUACCUAAUCAGAAAGCCACGGCUAACUACGUGCCAGCAGCCGCGGUAAUACGUAGGUGGCAAGCGUUAUCCGGAAUUAUUGGGCGUAAAGCGCGCGUAGGCGGUUUUUUAAGUCUGAUGUGAAAGCCCACGGCUCAACCGUGGAGGGUCAUUGGAAACUGGAAAACUUGAGUGCAGAAGAGGAAAGUGGAAUUCCAUGUGUAGCGGUGAAAUGCGCAGAGAUAUGGAGGAACACCAGUGGCGAAGGCGACUUUCUGGUCUGUAACUGACGCUGAUGUGCGAAAGCGUGGGGAUCAAACAGGAUUAGAUACCCUGGUAGUCCACGCCGUAAACGAUGAGUGCUAAGUGUUAGGGGGUUUCCGCCCCUUAGUGCUGCAGCUAACGCAUUAAGCACUCCGCCUGGGGAGUACGACCGCAAGGUUGAAACUCAAAGGAAUUGACGGGGACCCGCACAAGCGGUGGAGCAUGUGGUUUAAUUCGAAGCAACGCGAAGAACCUUACCAAAUCUUGACAUCCUUUGACAACUCUAGAGAUAGAGCCU
rnacentral:rRNA from 3 species